GCUCUGCCGCCAAAACAAGAUCGGAGGUGGUGGGGGAGAGGGCUCACUACAGUGUCGGUGGAGCCAAUCCCAGUUGUGUGAGAACUAUGUCAAAGUUCGCAAAACAUGUGGAGCUUUUCAAAAUCCUUGAAGCCCAUACACAUUUAAUGUAAGUAAUUGGAUGAAAUGAAAGUCGUUGCAUUGAAAAUAUAUUUACUAAAUAUUAAGUACAUUACUUGGAUGAACUUUGAACCAAUGACACAUUUCCGUUUUACUCUGCAAAAACUUUGCUCAAGCAACUAGCAAAUUGGCUUUUAUAGGCCCAAGC